UGCCAGCAGCCGCGGUAAUACGGAGGGUGCAAGCGUUGUUCGGAAUUACUGGGCGUAAAGCGCGUGUAGGCGGCUUCUUAAGUCUGAUGUGAAAGCCCGGGGCUCAACCCCGGAAGUGCAUUGGAAACUGGGAAGCUAGAGUACCGGAGAGGAAAGCGGAAUUCCUGGUGUAGCGGUGAAAUGCGUAGAUAUCAGGAGGAACACCGGUGGCGAAGGCGGCUAACUGGCUCGGUACUGACGCUGAGAUGCGAAAGCGUGGGGAGCAAACAGGAUUAGAUA
rnacentral:rRNA from 1 species